GCUGGGUGUGGUUGCACAUGCCUGUAAUCCCAGUUACUGUGGAAGCCAAGACAGGAGGAUCUCAAGUUCAAGGCCACUUGGGACACUUUGCUACUUUGCUACACCCCCAACACAUUUCACAUUUUUAUUUGAGACAGUGUCUGAAUAUGUUUCCCAGGCUGGCUUGGAAUCUCGGAUCCUCCUGCCUC
rnacentral:sRNA from 1 species